rnacentral:other from 1 species
AUUAGCCUGCGGUUCUCGCGAUUUUGAUUUGUAUUUAACCCACAAAACUCGAUAACGGGCUUCCGGGCUUCCGCCGUGGUUUGCAGGCCUCCCCGCACGAUUGUGCGGGAUGUUGGAAGCAGUAAAGCGUCGGAGAGGUCGCCCACCUGCUGAUAAUGUGCAGGUUAUUUAUCGAACGGAACGCGGUCCUCGCGGGUUUCGC